rnacentral:rRNA from 1 species
UUAAGUUAUUAAGGGCGCACGGUGGAUGCCUUGGCACUAGAAGCCAAUGAAGGACGUUACUAACGACGAUAUGCUUUGGGGAGCUGUAAGUAAGCUUUGAUCCAGAGAUUUCCGAAUGGGGAAACCCAGCAUGAGUUAUGUCAUGUUAUCGAUAUGUGAAUACAUAGCAUAUCAGAAGGCACACCCGGAGAACUGAAACAUCUUAGUACCCGGAGGAAGAGAAAGAAAAUUCGAUUCCCUUAGUAGCGGCGAGCGAAACGGGAAGAGCCCAAACCAACAAGCUUGCUUGUUGGGGUUGUAGGACACUCUAUACGGAGUUACAAAGGACGACAUUAGACGAAUCAUCUGGAAAGAUGAAUCAAAGAGGUAAUAAUCCUGUAGUCGAAAAUGUUGUCUCUCUUGAGUGGAUCCUGAGUACGACGGAGCACGUGAAAUUCCGUCGGAAUCUGGGAGGACCAUCUCCUAAGGCUAAAUACUCUCUAGUGACCGAUAGUGAACCAGUACCGUGAGGGAAAGGUGAAAAGCACCCCGGAAGGGGAGUGAAAUAGAACCUGAAACCGUGUGCUUACAAGUAGUCAGAGCCCGUUAAUGGGUGAUGGCGUGCCUUUUGUAGAAUGAACCGGCGAGUUACGAUUUGAUGCAAGGUUAAGCAGUAAAUGUGGAGCCGUAGCGAAAGCGAGUCUGAAUAGGGCGUUUAGUAUUUGGCCGUAGACCCGAAACCAGGUGAUCUACCCUUGGUCAGGUUGAAGUUCAGGUAACACUGAAUGGAGGACCGAACCGACUUACGUUGAAAAGUGAGCGGAUGAACUGAGGGUAGCGGAGAAAUUCCAAUCGAACCUGGAGAUAGCUGGUUCUCUCCGAAAUAGCUUUAGGGCUAGCCUCAAGUGAUGAUUAUUGGAGGUAGAGCACUGUUUGGACGAGGGGCCCUCUCGGGUUACCGAAUUCAGACAAACUCCGAAUGCCAAUUAAUUUAACUUGGGAGUCAGAACAUGGGUGAUAAGGUCCGUGUUCGAAAGGGAAACAGCCCAGACCACCAGCUAAGGUCCCAAAAUAUAUGUUAAGUGGAAAAGGAUGUGGCGUUGCCCAGACAACUAGGAUGUUGGCUUAGAAGCAGCCAUCAUUUAAAGAGUGCGUAAUAGCUCACUAGUCGAGUGACACUGCGCCGAAAAUGUACCGGGGCUAAACAUAUUACCGAAGCUGUGGAUUGUCCUUUGGACAAUGGUAGGAGAGCGUUCUAAGGGCGUUGAAGCAUGAUCGUAAGGACAUGUGGAGCGCUUAGAAGUGAGAAUGCCGGUGUGAGUAGCGAAAGACGGGUGAGAAUCCCGUCCACCGAUUGACUAAGGUUUCCAGAGGAAGGCUCGUCCGCUCUGGGUUAGUCGGGUCCUAAGCUGAGGCCGACAGGCGUAGGCGAUGGAUAACAGGUUGAUAUUCCUGUACCACCUAUAAUCGUUUUAAUCGAUGGGGGGACGCAGUAGGAUAGGCGAAGCGUGCGAUUGGAUUGCACGUCUAAGCAGUAAGGCUGAGUAUUAGGCAAAUCCGGUACUCGUUAAGGCUGAGCUGUGAUGGGGAGAAGACAUUGUGUCUUCGAGUCGUUGAUUUCACACUGCCGAGAAAAGCCUCUAGAUAGAAAAUAGGUGCCCGUACCGCAAACCGACACAGGUAGUCAAGAUGAGAAUUCUAAGGUGAGCGAGCGAACUCUCGUUAAGGAACUCGGCAAAAUGACCCCGUAACUUCGGGAGAAGGGGUGCUCUUUAGGGUUAACGCCCAGAAGAGCCGCAGUGAAUAGGCCCAAGCGACUGUUUAUCAAAAACACAGGUCUCUGCUAAACCGUAAGGUGAUGUAUAGGGGCUGACGCCUGCCCGGUGCUGGAAGGUUAAGAGGAGUGGUUAGCUUCUGCGAAGCUACGAAUCGAAGCCCCAGUAAACGGCGGCCGUAACUAUAACGGUCCUAAGGUAGCGAAAUUCCUUGUCGGGUAAGUUCCGACCCGCACGAAAGGCGUAACGAUUUGGGCACUGUCUCAACGAGAGACUCGGUGAAAUCAUAGUACCUGUGAAGAUGCAGGUUACCCGCGACAGGACGGAAAGACCCCGUGGAGCUUUACUGUAGCCUGAUAUUGAAAUUCGGCACAGCUUGUACAGGAUAGGUAGGAGCCUUUGAAACGUGAGCGCUAGCUUACGUGGAGGCGCUGGUGGGAUACUACCCUAGCUGUGUUGGCUUUCUAACCCGCACCACUUAUCGUGGUGGGAGACAGUGUCAGGCGGGCAGUUUGACUGGGGCGGUCGCCUCCUAAAAGGUAACGGAGGCGCUCAAAGGUUCCCUCAGAAUGGUUGGAAAUCAUUCAUAGAGUGUAAAGGCAUAAGGGAGCUUGACUGCGAGACCUACAAGUCGAGCAGGGUCGAAAGACGGACUUAGUGAUCCGGUGGUUCCGCAUGGAAGGGCCAUCGCUCAACGGAUAAAAGCUACCCCGGGGAUAACAGGCUUAUCUCCCCCAAGAGUUCACAUCGACGGGAGGUUUGGCACCUCGAUGUCGGCUCAUCGCAUCCUGGGGCUGUAGUCGGUCCCAAGGGUUGGGCUGUUCGCCCAUUAAAGCGGUACGCGAGCUGGGUUCAGAACGUCGUGAGACAGUUCGGUCCCUAUCCGUCGUGGCGUAGGAAAUUUGAGAGGAGCUGUCCUUAGUACGAGAGGACCGGGAUGGACAUACCUCUGGUGUACCAGUUGUCGUGCCAACGGCAUAGCUGGGUAGCUAUGUGUGGACGGGAUAAGUGCUGAAAGCAUCUAAGCAUGAAGCCCCCCUCAAGAUGAGAUUUCCCAACUUCGGUUUAUAAGAUCCCUCAAAGAUGAUGAGGUUAAUAGGUUCGAGGUGGAAGCAUGGUGACAUGUGGAGCUGACGAAUACUAAUCGAUCGAAGACUUAAUCAA